UCCCCGGUGGCUCAAUGGUAAAGAAUCUGCCUGCAGUGCAGGAUACCUGGGUUCAAUCCCUGGGUUGGGAA
rnacentral:tRNA from 1 species